rnacentral:rRNA from 1 species
UGGGGAAUAUUGCACAAUGGGCGCAAGCCUGAUGCAGCGACGCCGCGUGAGGGAUGAAGGCCUUCGGGUUGUAAACCUCUUUCGUCAGGGAACAAGGCACUGUCUUUUUGGUGGUGUUGAGGGUACCUGGAUAAGAAGCGCCGGCUAACUACGUGCCAGCAGCCGCGGUAAUACGUAGGGCGCAAGCGUUGUCCGGAAUUAUUGGGCGUAAAGAGCUCGUAGGCGGCUGGUCGCGUCUGUCGUGAAAACUUCCGGCUCAACCGGGGGCUUGCGGUGGGUACGGGCCGGCUAGAGUGCGGUAGGGGUAACUGGAACUCCUGGUGUAGCGGUGGAAUGCGCAGAUAUCAGGAAGAACACCGAUGGCGAAGGCAGGUUACUGGGCCGUUACUGACGCUGAGGAGCGAAAGCGUGGGGAGCGAACAGGAUUAGAUACCCUGGUAGUCCACGCUGUAAACGUUGGGCACUAGGUGUGAGGCUCCUUUCCGGGGGUUUUGCGCCGUAGCUAACGCAUUAAGUGCCCCGCCUGGGGAGUACGGCCGCAAGGCUA